GACGAACGCUGGCGGCGUGCUUAACACAUGCAAGUCGAACGGUGAAGGGAUCAGCUUGCUGGUUCUGGAUGAGUGGCGAACGGGUGAGUAACACGUGAGUAACCUGCCCCCUUCUUCUGGAUAACCGCAUGAAAGUGUGGCUAAUACGGGAUAUUCUGCGCCUGCUGCAUGGUGGGUGUGGGAAAGAUCUUGUUUCGGUGGGGGAUGGGCUCGCGGCCUAUCAGCUUGUUGGUGGGGUGAUGGCCUACCAAGGCGGUGACGGGUAGCCGGCCUGAGAGGGUGGACGGUCACACUGGGACUGAGACACGGCCCAGACUCCUACGGGAGGCAGCAGUGGGGAAUAUUGCACAAUGGGCGCAAGCCUGAUGCAGCGACGCCGCGUGAGGGAUGGAGGCCUUCGGGUUGUGAACCUCUUUCGCCAGUGAAGCAGGCCUGUCCCUUGUGGGUGGGUUGACGGUAGCUGGAUAAGAAGCGCCGGCUAACUACGUG
rnacentral:rRNA from 1 species